rnacentral:lncRNA from 1 species
CAAUCCAUCCCCAGACUUCUUCCCUCCCUCAUCCCUCCACUGGGUCCACGUUCCCUGGUUCCAUUUGUCCCUCCACUGGGCUUCUGCUCUCCCCAGGUGCCUGUAACAGGUGACACAGUGGCCAGUGACCUAUGCAUGCACGAGGAUGGAUAGUUCUUGUUGCCUCCCCCUCCUCUUCCCUCAACCCUAUUCCUUCUCCGGGUUUUUGGCUCAGCAGCUUGUUGGGUGUGAGCAAGCUUCCAGCUCCAAGAGUUGCUCCCCUCCCCCAUGUUCUGCAUGGGCUCGUACAGUAUAAACAGCAACCUCUGCUGCAGCAUGGCUGAACUUGUGUUCCCAGCAUGGAUGAUAGACGCCUAGGAAGGACAUCCUGGGGGUGUUUCCUAGGCCAUCAAGCACAGGGGAAAAUGCUGUCUGCUGUGAUGUGCCAGUUCAGAACCGGUUUAGGAAUUGAUGACUGGGAAUAUGAUGUUUGGCUGCCAGGAUGGUCUUCACUUGGUCUGAAGACUCAGGAUGCAGUCUGACUGUGGGGAGGGUCUCUGAAUGAGGGGAGUGGUGGGCGUGGCAAAGGACAGGAGUGCUGUCCCUCUGUGAGGACUCAAUUUUGCAUAUCUGGGACCCAGAAGUAGCGCAAGGUUGUUACUGAGUCAUUUGAUAGGUUCACAGCAAAGCUUUUGCACUGUUGGGAUUAAAUGAGGUCAGUAGUUGUGAGGCACUGAACGGGAGGGACUCGGUACUCACACAGAUCCACUGAUGUCUAAGUGAAUGGUCUCUGAUCACUAAAACACUAAUAGUUUCUAAAUCUCCUCUUUCCCCCUCUUCUUAACUUGCACCAGCCCUUUGUUCACAUGGGUUAAACCGGUUUUCUCCUGCACAGGCCGGCUGACUUUUGGGUUGAUAUUUACAUAUGCAGAGAUGCUGCCCUGUUAAGAACCUGUGUAAAUGCUUUCACUGGAGAAAGACAGUCACCUUGCGACAGAGUUCCACAAGCACUCAGAAUUUCCUGCUUCAGAACCUCGUAAGCUGACAAGUUCGAGAGACGGUCUCUAUGCGUUGGUAGUGAGAGAUGAAAGAGAUGCUUCAUCUCUACGUUCACACUGAAACCACCUCACAGGUUUGCCUGUCUGGAAAAGCCUCUGAAAGAAGUGAGGAGGGGCUAGCCUGGUUUUGCACAUUUACCAUUUGGUUAUUUUUGUUUGUUUGUUUGGUUGGUUUGGUUUUUGCUUUUGUUUAUUCAAGACAAGGUCUCUCUGUGUAGCCCUGGCUGUCCUGGAACUCACUCUGUAGACCAAGCUGGCCUUGAAUUCACAGAAUUCUGCCUGCCUCUGCCUCCCAAGUGCUGGGAUUAAAAGUGUACACCCCCACAUCCUGGCUUGUUGGUUGUUUUUUUGGUACCUUCCUUCCCGGGAAUCAGUGUCUUCAUCUGGUACCAUUUUCCCCCAUCUGAGGAGGUCUUCUGUAUCUAGUACAAUCUGCCCUCAGGCCAUAAUACCCGAG